GCAAGGGCGCAGCAGCUAGCUGCAGCAGGCUAGCAGCAAUGGUGUACGAGGCAGCUGCCGCCGUUGCUGAGAGGAGCCAAAGCCAGCUGCGCAGCCGAGAAGACGAGCGCGGCGGAAGAAGCCGGCAGCGACAGCGGCUGGAGGAGGAGAAGGAGAAGGUGGUGAUGAGGUGCGGCGUUCUCGGGAUCCUCAGGAGGGUCCUCCCGCUCCCCAAGGCAUCACCGUCGUUGGAGAAGAAGAAGAAAUGAAUGUUGUUUUCAUAGGAGUGCUCAGGAUGAAGGAGUCUUCAUAGAAUGACGACGAAGGAGAGUGCGCAAAGUCGAAGACAAAUAAUCAAGUUCAGGAUAUGGCAAAGAUGAAAGCCAAAUCACAACAAUUAAAGUCAAAAGAAUCAAGCCUACAAAUAAGACCCCAUCAGCCAAAGACUCUUCUCAUCGAGCGAAGUCGAUGGGUUGUCGCUGAAGUGUAAUUGUGGCUAUAAAAUGACCAUUUAACCACUUUUAGAAAUAAAAGUUGGUCUUGAUUGCUCUAGAGAGGUUAGAAGGGGAAUUGUAUAGAGAGUCGUGACAUGUACCUUUUUGUGAACAAGAAAUGAAUAUACAAAAGAGUUAAUUCCUCA